GCUUUAUCAACAGCUCCGUCAUAAUUGAUCUUAAUUGUACCAUUAGGAGGGGCAUUCCAAUUCAAUUGGCGUGUUGGAGCAUUCAACGCAUCUGAAUUUGGAGUAAAAAUGGUCCCCAAACUCUGUUGAAAAUUUGCAAAGUGAAUAAUAGCCGACUGAAUGACUUCUUUGAAGGGCACAACUUUGUUCUCAAAGACUAGAGAAUUUAUCGAUUUCUAGAUCUGCCAAAGCCAAAAGACUAGCUUGGCCAUCAGCUCCUUCCCCUCCUGACGCCUCAAAAGAACAGAAUAAAUUUCUUCCCAGCUUUCAACAAAAGAGUUGCCCUGAAUACGAGCUGAUCUGAAUCUGAACUCUGAAUGUAUCCACACUUCAGCUGUUCAGCUGCCCUAGGGCAGUGAAACAAAGAUGGUUCAAG
rnacentral:misc_RNA from 1 species